AGCAGCCGCGGUAAUUCCAGCUCCAAUAGCGUAUAUUAAAGUUGUUGCAGUUAAAAAGCUCGUAGUUGAACUUCAGGCCUGGCUGGACGGUCCGCCCUCUGGGUGAGCACUGUCUGUGGUCGGGUCCUACCUUCUGGCGAAGCGGCAUGGCCUUAACCGGCCGUGGCGGGGAACCAGGACUUUUACUGUGAAAAAAUUAGAGUGUUCAAAGCAGGCACGCGCUUGAAUACAUUAGCACGGAAUAAUGGAAUAGGACAAUGGUUCUAUUUGUUGGUUUCUAGGACCGUUGUAAUGAUUAAUAGGGAUAGUUGGGGGCAUUAGUAUUCAAUUGUCAGAGGUGAAAUUCUUGGAUUUAUUGAAGACUAACUACUGCGAAAGCAUUUGCCAAGGAUGUUUUCAUUAAUCAAGAACGAAAGUUAGGGAUCGAAGACGAUCAGAUACCGUCGUAGUACUUAACCAUAACUAUGACCGACUAGGGAUCGGAUGAUUGUUUAAUUUUUAAUGUACUUCGUUCGCGUCG
rnacentral:rRNA from 1 species